GCGACCCCAGGUCAGGCGGGAAUUACCCGCU
rnacentral:rRNA from 1 species